UGGCAGCUUUACAAAAACACCUGUGACUCACAGGUACUCAAGUGCUGCUUAACCCUCCCAAAUGUUGUGGUCACUCUGAGGUGAAGCAGCAGAAGCACAGACAGCCUUGGAAGCUGCUGCCAGACCUGCACUAUGAUAUCCAGCACCUUUCUUUGAGGCACUGAGGAAUUCCAUGUUCUGUCACACUGGAAAUGGAGUGGGACACAGAGCUGAGUGCAGAUAGCUCCAGUAAAUCACCAGGGACCAAUGCCUCAGCUACCAAUCACCAGAAUAUCCAGUUACAAGAAUGUCUAAUUAAUGGGGAGAGCCAGUAAAACAAAGAGGAAGCUUUAUAAAACAGGCUGGAAAAGAAAUUAACUAUAGACCCCAUAUCUGCUAGUAAGAAAAAAAAAAAAAAACAUUCAAGAGCCCUGAUUUUGCAUCUUGCAGCUGCACAGCACUCCCACAUACUACCCGUGUCAAGCUGGCUCCAAUAUUGGAGACAGUGUGUGGAAAAGGAAAUAAUCAACACCAUUUCAGUGGAGAAAUAAAUUGCCAAGUG
rnacentral:lncRNA from 1 species